rnacentral:misc_RNA from 1 species
AAAUGCGAUAAGUAGUGUGAAUUGCAGAAUUCAGUGAAUCAUCGAAUCUUUGAACGCACAUUGCGCCCUUUGGUAUUCCAAAGGGCAUGCCUGUUCGAGCGUCAUUUGUACCCUCAAGCUUUGCUUGGUGUUGGGCAUCUUGUCUCCAGUUCGCUGGAGACUCGCCUUAAAGUAAUUGGCAGCCGGCCUACUGGUUUCGGAGCGCAGCACAAGUCGCGCUCUCUUCCAGCCAAGGUCAGCAUCCACAAAGCCUUUUUUCAACUUUUGACCUCGGAUCAGGUAGGGAUACCCGCUGAACUUAAGC